CUCUGGCUGCGUCCAAGUGCCCAAGGGGAGCCAGGAAGAUGUGGAGACCACCAGCCAGGGCCGUUCCCCGGAGUGGAUCUUCUGGUGGCAGACCAGGCGGGAGCUCGUGAGGAAACUCUUCCCACAUUCCAGGCACUGGUGGGGCUUCUUGCCAUCAAAAAGCUGCUCAUUGACCACUUCAGAGCUCUGGCCAGAGCUCCGGCUGCCUUCCUGGCACAGGACUUCUCCUCUGUGCAGAUAAGGUUUGGGAGUGGGAAAUCCGGAUUUGAGGAAAAACAAGAUGUGAGUGCAUUGCCUUCGAAAGUCCCGCUGGCCAAGUCCAUCUCUAGAAGUCACCAGGUGUCUGGUGGCCAGAAAAACCUCCAAAAAUCAAGGAAAAACCUCCAUAAAUAAAUAAAACCUCUCCCAGGA